rnacentral:misc_RNA from 1 species
CCCUUCCGGUCUUCGAGACCGCGUCUUCAACUCGCCGCAGGACCCCACGAAAGUGGCCAGAAAUGCGGACGAGGCGAAGUAACCCUUGACUAUGAGUACCUUUUGUACCCUCGGCGGGCUCGCGCCCGUCGCUGGGCCCAUCCAAACCCCUUUGCAGUAGCAGUAUACCUUUGAUCGUGGGCACUUGAAUCUUUAC